rnacentral:ncRNA from 1 species
CCUUCGGGGCAGGGUGAAAUUCCCUACCGACGGUGAUGGCGCCAGAAGCAUGAAGAUGGACGGCGCACAAGUCCGUGACCUGUAUACAGCACUUGGAGUUGUAUAUGGCUGAGCCGGUGAGAUUCCGGGACCGACAGUAUAGUCUGGAUGGGAGAAGGA